GGAUCAUUACCGAGUUUACAACUCCCAAACCCAAUGUGAACGUUACCAAACUGUUGCCUCGGCGGGAUCUCUGCCCCGGGUGCGUCGCAGCCCCGGACCAAGGCGCCCGCCGGAGGACCAACCUAAAACUCUUAUUGUAUACCCCCUCGCGGGUUUUUUUAUAAUCUGAGCCUUCUCGGCGCCUCUCGUAGGCGUUUCGAAAAUGAAUCAAAACUUUCAACAACGGAUCUCUUGGUUCUGGCAUCGAUGAAGAACGCAGCGAAAUGCGAUAAGUAAUGUGAAUUGCAGAAUUCAGUGAAUCAUCGAAUCUUUGAACGCACAUUGCGCCCGCCAGUAUUCUGGCGGGCAUGCCUGUCCGAGCGUCAUUUCAACCCUCGAACCCCUCCGGGGGGUCGGCGUUGGGGAUCGGCCCUCCCUUAGCGGGUGGCCGUCUCCGAAAUACAGUGGCGGUCUCGCCGCAGCCUCUCCUGCGCAGUAGUUUGCACACUCGCAUCGGGAGCGCGGCGCGUCCACAGCCGUUAAACACCCAACUUCUGAAAUGUUGACCUCGGAUCAGGUAG
rnacentral:rRNA from 1 species